AGUGAACGUUGGCGGCGUGGAUUAGGCAUGCAAGUCGAGCGAUCGUAGCAAUACGGGAGCGGCAAACGGGGUAGGAAUACAUCGGAACGUACCUUUUGGUUGAGAAUAGCGUUGGGAAACUGACGGUAAUACUCAAUAAAGUCGAGAGACCAAAGGUUUACUGCCGGAAGAGCGGCCGAUGCGAUAUUAGGUAGUUGGUGGGGUAAUGGCCUACCAAGCCUGAGAUGUCUAGGGGGUGUGAGAGCAUGGCCCCCACCACUGGGACUGAGAUACUGCCCAGACACCUACGGGUGGCUGCAGUCGAGGAUCUUCGUCAAUGGGCGAAAGCCUGAACGAGCGACGCCGCGUGCGGGAUGAAGGCCCUUGGGUUGUAAACCGCUGUCAGGGGGGAUGAAACCGUAAGGUUGACAGAGCCCCAGAGGAAGCACGGGCUAAGUUCGUGCCAGCAG
rnacentral:rRNA from 1 species